rnacentral:rRNA from 1 species
CAUACGGGUGGCAGCAGUGGGGAAUAUUGGACAAUGGGGGAAACCCUGAUCCAGCGACGCCGCGUGAGUGAAGAAGUAUUUCGGUUUGUAAAGCUCUAUCAGCAGGGAAGAAAAUGCCGGUACCUGACUAAGAAGCCCCGGCUAACUACGUGCCAGCAGCCGCGGUCAUACGGAGGGGGCACGCGUUAUCCGGAUUGACUGGGUGUAAAGGGAGCGUAGACGGCAUUGCAAGUCUGAUGUGAAAGAUUGGGGCUCAACCCCAGGACUGCAUUGGACACUGUAAAGCUGGAGUACAGGAGAGGAGAGUGGAAUGCCGAGUGUAGGGGUGAAAUCCGUAGAUAUUAGGAGGAACACCAGUGGCGAAGGCGACUAACUGGAAUGUAACUGACGUUGAGGCUCGAAAGCGUGGGGAGCAAACAGGAUUAGAUACCCCUGUAGUC